rnacentral:rRNA from 1 species
UACGUAGGGGGCAAGCGUUGUCCGGAAUCAUUGGGCGUAAAGAGCGUGUAGGCGGCCCGGUAAGUCCGUUGUGAAAGUCGGGGGCUCAACCCUCGAAUGCCGGUGGAUACUGUCGGGCUAGAGUGCGGGAGAGGCGAGUGGAAUUCCUGGUGUAGCGGUGAAAUGCGCAGAUAUCAGGAGGAACACCGAUUGCGAAGGCAGCUCGCUGGAACGUAACUGACGCUGAGACGCGAAAGCGUGGGGAGCAAACAGG